UGGAAAGGCCUUGCGAAGAGUUGCCAGAAUCCUAUAAGAAAGUACAUCAUCCUCCAGCACCCAGUAUUCAAGUUGAUUAUGUGCGAAGCGAUGCUUACAUGUUUGAAGUGUACAGCUACGUACGAAGACGAAUCGACGAAGCAAUCGAGCUGUGCAGAGAUGACAAUAGCAGUUCAGAUUUUUGUUCGGAGAACAUUCUGAUCAUAUUUUCUGACGACAAAUCGACAUCAGGCAAUAAUUUCUACGAAGGAGUUACUGAUAUAGAGCGGAUCAAUUGAAUCGAUUCUCGAUAAAGAUCCAUCUGUUAUUGUGUCCAUUGGAAUGAAUGAAAAAUGCUUUGCAACACUUCAGCAAAAAUCUGCAGAUAAACCGAUGUCUCCAGUUUUUUGCAAAAUAACACCCACAAGUCCAACGGACAUUCAAUGCGAAUAUAUUCAUAGAAAUGUGUGGGGGUUUGAAUGUUUUGCAAGGAUCUAUCGAAAGACAACGUGGUGGCAUAUGUUGACAAUGUGUUGGAAUACUACGCCUUUGAGGUGCUUGACAGAGCUAUAAAUAAUCUCCCCGA